GAAAGCAAAGUUCCAGCACGUCAUAGUCAAUCCCAACAGUUCUGCGCAAACUAACGAUAGGCAAGGAAAGGAGAAAAGUGUGAACGCACACGACGGCCAACAUUUCCUCCUUUCUCUGCCUGUCGUUUUGUCUGACCUGACAAGGGGGCUGAGGUGCAGGAGCGCAGGGCUCGGAGCAGGCACCGGGCCCCGAACAUCGCGCUGCUGCCGCAAGCUCUCCUCGGGACCAGCACGGAUCCCGGCGGGGGCUCCAGCUGUGUCCCCACCACCUCCCCGCCGCUUCCCUCUCCGCAGACAGGGAGGAGCGGAGACAACACAGCCAGCUGCCUAAGCCUAAAAUACCACGCGCCGUAGCCAGCAGAGACACUUCAGGGACCCGCGUCUUUUCCAAACCCACAGACCACACCGCCUCCCCCAGCUGAAACACGCGCGGCCGCCGCCCCUACGCCACAAGCCAACGUCAACGUCAUCACGCUACAAGGAGACCAAGAAGGAGCGUGCGCACUGGUGUUGUUGCUGGAGCAACUGAGGAGCACAGCUGGGAUGAGGUCUGAAAGGUCUUCAUUUCUACAGCUUCCAGUUGAUGCCGAAGGACACUGAGAGGCAAGGAGUGACUGAUGCACAGGGAAAGCCUCCAGGAGACUUAGUUGUUGAGAGGAUUAGCCUGAGGAUAUCGGCCAUUCCUGAGUUCUGAGCACAAAGACGAGACACAGACCCUUGCUUAAGUCACAGUUGUGUGGUAUCAGACAUCUAAACAGACAAGUGCAUAAGAGUGAUAGGAUGCCAGAGAUGGCUUACUGGAGAAGGUAACCCUCUGACGACGGAAGAGUAACUGAAGGGACUUUGUUUAUGCAAUUCAGAGAAGGCACGACCGUGUGAAGAUGUUGGGGAGAGGCUAGAGGGAAUGUUGGCCAUUGCCUGACGGAAUCUCCAAAUCUCUUUUUUUCCAACACAGUUAUCUGCAUUUGUUUGACCAGGAAACAAUGACCCUUUUAAGUUUAUCCCCCCACCACCAAUUAAAAAAAAAUUCUGUAAUUCAGUGACAAUCAUGAAAAGGUUUCUAUCUAAUUAAAAGAAAGAAGGGCUAAUAACAUAAAGUUGCUGCUAUUAUUAUGCCCAUUUUAUAGAUACGGGAACUUGGGCACAGGAAAGUGAAAUGACUUAGUCAAGGAUAUAUAUCCUAUAGGUGUGAGAUUUAAACUUAGAAACUCUGGCUCCAUGCACUAAACUAUUAUGCUAUAUACAAUGUCUCAAGGUGGGAAAUAAAAUCAUGGUCCCUUCCACCAAGAAGCUCAUGGCCUGGACCUAGGAAAUGGCAACCAAACAAAUUAUUGCAAUAUAAACCAAUAAGUUCACAUAAAUAUAUGAGCCACGUGGAGUGGUAGUCUAGAGAAGGAAAUAAGGUGAGUUUCUUGAGGAGGAUCAGAAUUUUGCAAUGUUGGGAUGUAAGAAAGAGUAUUUCCUGCCAGAAGGUAGUCAGGAAAGGUUGCCAGGAGGGCAAACAGCCUGGAAUAAUUGUAAAACUGUUCUCAAGACAGACUGAAAAAUAUCUCCCACAAAAAUACCAUAGUUCUUGGACACUUCUUGAACCUUGCAAAAAGAAUAUUGAGGGGCACUUGGCUAGCUCAGUUGGGAGAGGAUGUGACUCUUGAUCUUGGAGUCAUGAGUUCGAGCCCCACAUUUGGCAUAGAGAUUGCUUAAAUAAAAAAAAUUUUAAAUAUG